AAAAAAAGCGGAUUUUCAUUUUUUUUCCCUGUUCGUCGUCUUUGCUUAGAUAACAAAGGCUUUAAAGUUUAUAACCCAUCAAUAAUCCUUCUAGAGCUACAGAAGAGAACCCUAGCCACCGUAUCUCUCCUCUAUUGCACACUUUGUUGAUUUUUUCAAUCUCAAUCAUCUUCCCCAAAAUCGAGGAUUUGAGGAUCUAAUAUUAAGAUUGGGAAGGAAACAAUAAUCUAAUUCCAUAGUCACCCGAUCCAGAAUUUUAUUGAAGAAAUUUGUGAGCUCUUUAAUGGCGACUUCGUCUUCUGAAGAACAAAGUGUUCCGCAACAUCAUGUGCAGAUUACUGGUAGUGGUGGAGUUCAUGUUGCUGCAUUUGCUAAUAGUGCAGGAAAUAUAUACAAGGCGGAUGGCAUCUUGUUUAACUUCAGAUGGGAUUGUGAUUAACAUGGUUGUCGGGGGUGAAGUAGUGACUCUUAAGAGCAUUGAAGAAGGUAGUAAUCUCAUCAUAGCCGAGAUGCCCAUACAAGUGUCUGAGAUUUUAUGACGAUAAUUCAGGUCAUCUAAGCGUUGGAUUAUUCAGGUUCUUUUACUCUCUUUGAUGUGCAUAACCUUUACAUCUUUUUUGUGUGCAUUAAAUGUACGCUGCAUAUUUGAAUAUUCAUACUCGUAGUUGACUAGAGUAUCAACCGCAGAUGAUAAAUGCCAAUAUUCAUAUUCAUCCUAGCCAGGUUUAGACGUUGUUACAGUCUAUCCUGUAAAAAGCUACCAAUUCUGAGUAAAUUCUUUGAAAGGGUAUUUAAUUUUUGUUCCUAGGUUAUAUGUAUCUUUGUCAGACAUGAUAGAAGAGUGUGGUUGGCUGAUUCCUCGGGUCCUUUACUUGUUUUUCCUUUACACUCCGUAGAAAUCGAGUUUACCAAAACCUAUAACUUAACUCAGGAAAUGAAUAAUUUUGAUAUCAUGAUUUUCAUGUUACAGUCAUAACUAAAUAUGCUGCUUUUUAUGUUCUGUUCCAUAAGUUAAAAUAUUUUGAUUAUUCGAUAAUCAGAAUGGUGGUGAAUAAGUUUUAUGAUUCUAGAGAUAAUAACCAUUAUGAUGCUAGGGAGGUUCUUUUGUAAUCAAUAGGGAGUUAAGUAACUUGCUUUGUUGCAGGUAGGAGAUGUCAAUGUGAAGUCCGGAUUUCUAGAAUGACAAUGACAAUAAUUCUAUUGGGCUACUGAUAAUCUGCUCAAAUAUGUCUCCUCAGGUCUAAUGCUCACCCUUGAGAACCUUUUCUUCCAUUUUUUAACUUCCAAGUGUGGAAAAAUUGUAGACUUUUGGGCAUCAUUGGUUAAUUUUGAAGUCUAAAACAGAGGAAUACAUGAUGUAUUACUUAUGCUAUGGUUUAUAUACAUAGUAUAUGAUCUUAUAUUUUAUUUCUAUUAACAUUACUACUUACAAUUUCCAAUUUCUUUUACAU